AGCGAACGCUGGCGGCAGGCCUAACACAUGCAAGUCGAACGAACCUUUCGGGGUUAGUGGCGGACGGGUGAGUAACACGUGGGAACGUGCCUUUAGGUUCGGAAUAACUCAGGGAAACUUGUGCUAAUACCGAAUGUGCCCUUCGGGGGAAAGAUUUAUCGCCUUUAGAUCGGCCUGCGUAUGAUUAGCUAGUUGGUUGAGGUAAUGGCUCACCAAGGCGACGAUCAGUAGCUGGUCUGAGAGGAUGAUCAGCCACAUUGGGACUGAGACACGGCCCAAACUCCUACGGGAGGCAGCAGUGGGGAAUCUUGCGCAAUGGGCGAAAGCCUGACGCAGCCAUGCCGCGUGAAUGAUGAAGGUCUUAGGAUUGUAAAAUUCUUUCACCGGGGACGAUAAUGACGGUACCCGGAGAAGAAGCCCCGGCUAACUUCGUG
rnacentral:rRNA from 1 species